rnacentral:rRNA from 1 species
CAAUAGCGUAUAUUAAAGUUGUUGCAGUUAAAAAGCUCGUAGUUGGAUUUGUGGCGUACGGUGUGUUCCGGGCACUUGUUGUCUGAGUAACCUGCUGUUGCCAUCCUUGGGUGGAACCUGUGUGGCAUUAGGUUGUCGUGCAGGGGAUGCCCAUCAUUUACUGUGAAAAAAUUAGAGUGUUCAAAGCAGGCUUAUGCCGUUGAAUAUAUUAGCAUGGAAUAAUGAGAUAGGACUUUUUUGCUAUUUUGUUGGUUGGCGCAAAGAGGUAAUGAUUAAUAGGGACAGUUGGGGGUAUUCGUAUUCCAUUGUCAGAGGUGAAAUUCUUGGAUUUUUGGAAGACGAACUACUGCGAAAGCAUUUACCAAGGAUGUUUUCAUUAA